rnacentral:tRNA from 1 species
UAUUUUUGUAAUUAUAAUAUAAUUAAUCAAUUAUAAAGAUUAUUAAUCCUCUUUUAAAAAUAU